rnacentral:rRNA from 1 species
UACAGAGGUCUCAAGCGUUGUUCGGAUUCAUUGGGCGUAAAGGGCGCGUAGGCGGGUUUCCAAGUCGGGGGUGAAAUUCCAGGGCUCAACCCUGGGACGGCCUUCGAUACUGGGAGCCUGGAGAUCGGGAGAGGUGAGUGGAAUUCCGAGUGUAGAGGUGAAAUUCGUAGAUAUUCGGAGGAACACCAGAAGCGAAGGCGGCUCACUGGCCCGAGACUGACGCUGAGGCGCGAAAGCGUGGGGAGCAAACAGG